rnacentral:rRNA from 1 species
AGUAACGGCGAGUGAAGCGGCAACAGCUCAAAUUUGAAAUCUGGCCCCCCGCGGGCCCGAGUUGUACUUUGGAGAGGACGCUUCUGGCGCGGCGCCGUCCGAGUUCCCUGGAACGGGACGCCGGAGAGGGUGAGAGCCCCGUACGGGCGGCCGCCUAGCCUCUGCGAAGCUCCUUCGACGAGUCGAGUAGUUUGGGAAUGCUGCUCAAAAUGGGAGGUAAAUUUCUUCUAAAGCUAAAUACCGGCCAGAGACCGAUAGCGCACAAGUAGAGUGAUCGAAAGAUGAAAAGCACUUUGAAAAGAGGGUCAAACAGUACGUGAAAUUGUUGAAAGGGAAGCGCCUGUGGCCAGACUUGCGCCCCGCGGACCACCCGGCGCCUCGCGCGCCGGGGCACGCCAGCGGGGCGCAGGCCAGCAUCGGCUCUCUCGGGGGGACAAAGGCCGCGGGAACGUAGCGCCCUCGCGGCGUAUUAUAGCCCGCGGCGCCAUGCCCCCGGGGGGGCCGAGGACCGCGCUCCGGCAAGGAUGCUGGCGUAAUGGCCACCGGCGACCCGUCUUGAAACACGGACCAAGGAGUCAAGCAUUGGGGCGAGUGUCUGGGUGGCAAGCCCGCACGCGGAAUGAAAGUGAACGCAGGUGGGAGCUUCGGCGCACCACCGACCGAUCCUGAUGUCCUCGGAUGGAUUUGAGUAGGAGCCCCGCCGCUUGGACCCGAAAGAUGGUGAACUAUGCCUGUAUAGGGUGAAGCCAGAGGAAACUCUGGUGGAGGCCCGCAGCGGUUCUGACGUGCAAAUCGAUCGUCA